GAGUAUUUACAUAACCUUAAAGAUAAAGGUCGGUGCACAGCCAAAAUUACUAUUUUGUCCUUUGUUUAAUCCUCCACAUAAAUUACAAGAAUGCCAGAUCCGACGUCCAAUAUUUGUUCACCACCUCCCUCACUGUGUUAAAGCCUCUCAAAACUCUAGGUGAAUAUGUACGAUCUGAUACCACGAUCGACGGUCAAAAUCAGCGAACCAAAUAGGGUAAAUCCACAAGAAUGAUGUGAUCCGCGCACACCUGCUAUACGUUUGCAGUGCUCGCAGGUAACAACAGUUCCGAAGGAGUUUAGGGAGUCACGGUGGUUGUAAUCCGGCGGCGGUAUGAUGGGGUUAGGUUUUCCAGGCCCGAUCUGUUGUGUUGUCUGUAGAUCGAUCUCAUGCAAUAACAUUUGAACAGAAUCCGGUGCUCUCAAGUUGUCGCGUGACUCUGGUGGUUUAGGGUUUUCAGGACCGCUACAACUAUGACCAUAAUUCUGGUGAUCUCUGCAGCUCCCUGCUUUGUAUUUUGGCGAUCUAUUGGAAACUCGAUGCUGUUGCCAUGACUCCGGAAGCAGCAACACCGGUGUUUGUUACUCUCUCAAUGAGGAUGUAUCAGAGAUUGGGGUUUGAAUCGGAUCUUGGAGAAGGAUGUGUGAAACAAGUUACGCUUUCGGUGAUUCUUCACCUGUUUGGCCCGUUUUGUCUUCAGCUAAUUCUGCAUAUUCCCUGUUUUGGUUUAGCAGAUGCCAAAAUCCAAAGGGAUUUUAUCGUAUGGUUAUGCAUUUGGCCGCGAGGAUUGCGGGUACGCUUAUUAGAACUUAAUAAGUUUCAAAAAGCUGCAAACAUGUUAAUACAGAUUUAGUAUGUCCCUAUGUGAUUUAGGCAGAGGAGAAAGUCAAAAUAACUUUCAUAUAUCAAAGUCAAAGUGUACGUCUAUAUAUAUGUAAUAUGUGUGUUCUUGAUGAAAACACCUACUGGGUGGAAUCCCAUACUUUUGCUCUUUGUAUGAUUUUUCUACUACUCAUAGAAAACACAUAUGUCAUUAAUUUUUAUUAUUGUUUUUUUUUCCAAUUUGCAACUUCUAUGAUGAAAACACCUACUGGGUGGAAUCCCAUAUUGUUAUGGCUAACAUGUUUCUCAUCAAUGUAAUUGGUGGCUAUCAGGUAUCACUAACAAUUAUGUGUCUCUUUUAUAUUUUUUUCCUUAAUUUCGCAUGUUCACAUACAUCAUUUGUUGGCAAGACUUUGAUGUCAUUUUUAGUUGCAGCAAAAUGGAUGACUUAGGUAAUGUGUUUAGACCAAGGUCGGUGCACAGCCAAAGUUACUAUUUUGUCCUUCGUUUAAUCCUCCACAUAAAUUACAAGAAUGCCAUGGAGAGAGACUGGGUGUUGACUAAUUAUGUGUUAUGAAGAAGAACUCUAAUCUAUGUUCAUGCUUCCCAAAGUUGUCAGCACCGACUGUCGCAACCACGUCACGACAAAAACACAAAAAGCUCUCUGGGUGUUGCCUAGGCGUGAUGUUCAAUUUAAUCACUCUAUUUUGCUUCUCUCAUCUUCAUCUUCACUAUUUUCAACCGACGAGGUGACUCCCUUUUGGUUCCGGAAGAAGUUGUAACAUAAUGUUCGGUCGGGACAAUGACGGGUGGUGACACCGCCACAUCAGGUGUGCUUUUGGGUUUCAAGUCAGUAGGUUCAAGACAGUUCUCCGGGCGGGUAAAUAGGCCUACAGGCAACCUUGGUUAAGUAUGAAAACUCUCAGUUAUCCUUUUCUGUUUGCAUGUUUGAUAAACUUCGUAGGUGACCGAGAUUUGUUUAAUGGCGGCCUGAAUAGCAUCGACGAAAUUAGACCCAAAUCUAGGGAUUGACGACGUUUUCCGGCGGUGGUAGUUGUGUGGGUUAUCGGCGGUAUUGGCAGAGUGGUUUCCGACAAUAGUGGUAGGGAGAGGGUGAGAGAUGAGAGAGAGAGAGAGGAGUCGGGAAUUCCUAAGAUGUGACGGCGGCUGUUUGGUGGUUGCGAAUAGGUGGUGGUGACAUUUUUGUGAUGGAGUUGCACAACUGAAAUGUUGUCCCGCCGCCAAAACUGGCCACCACUGGUGGUCCGUCCCCCACUCCUCUGUCUCUUACUCUCCUUGAAUGUUUUUUUUAAGAAUGGCUGAGGAAGGGUUGGUUUGAUGUGAGGAUGGUUGUAAGUUUUGAAGUUGAACCAUGGGUUAGAACAUGGUUUUGACAUGUUCUAAGAAUGGUUUUUAAACUUAGUUUUGACAUGUUCUUAGAACAGUAUUUAAACCGUUUUAUGAAAUAAUACUCAAAAUUAUUA